rnacentral:misc_RNA from 1 species
AGUUGCGAUAUAAACUCAUCGGACACGCGUAUUCUCAGGCAUCCAGAUGGAGAUUUUUGUAUGUCAAAGGGUUGGCAAGUGGCUACCUUCUUUAGAAGCGCAUUUGUUGAGUCUCUGCUGGAGGAGGAAGAAGAAGAUGAUGGUUGGGCCUGGAACUGGGAGGAAGUGUUGACAAAGGAGGCGAUGGUGACAAAUGAUAGAACCAUGACAGGACUGACUGGAAACAAUGUUUAGGGAGGAGAAAGUACUUGUGGCCCAGCUGAAGCUGGUCGUUCUCAGACAGAGCUGGGAUCUUCUGCCCUAUGUAGAAAGAAUCUGAGCGGCACACCAGGUGCUUUGGAUACUCCACCAAUAGCUCUGAGACGUGGAUGGGUCGGUCAUAGAUCUUCACUAGCCCAUCGGAUUUGAUGAGCUUAAUAGUCUCCACCGGUGGGUCAGGGCGGAUAUGCACGCACGAGAUGUGGUUGCUCAAGAGGUGAAAACACCAUGGAAUCAUAUGCAGAUUCAAAAAUUUGAUGCCCAUUUACUUAGCGAUAACUCAGGAGCUGAAAAGAUAUAUAUAUAUAUACAAAGAAAGUUAAGUUGCGUUCAUAAGUGGAUGAUGAUGAGAAGGGAAAGAUUAGUUUCUGGUUUUCUGGUAUGGCGAGUUAGAGUAUUAGUAG